UACGUAGGGGGCUAGCGUUGUCCGGAAUCAUUGGGCGUAAAGCGCGUGUAGGCGGCCCGGUAAGUCCGCUGUGAAAGUCAAAGGCUCAACCUUUGAAUGUCAGCGGAUACUGCCGGGCUAGAGUCCGGAAGAGGCGAGUGGAACUCCUGGUGUAGCGGUGGAAUGCGCAGAUAUCAGGAAGAACACCAACGGCGAAGGCAGCUCGCUGGGACGGAACUGACGCUAAGGCGCGAAAGCGUGGGGAGCGAACAGG
rnacentral:rRNA from 1 species